rnacentral:rRNA from 1 species
GACGAACGCUGGCGGCGUGCUUAACACAUGCAAGUCGAACGAAAAGAGGGAAAGAGCUUGCUCUUUCCGGAAUUGAGUGGCAAACGGGUGAGUAACACGUAAACAACCUGCCUUCAGGAUGGGGACAACAGACGGAAACGACUGCUAAUACCGAAUAAGUUCCAAGGGCCGCAUGGCCCAUGGAAGAAAAGGUGGCCUCUACCUGUAAGCUAUCGCCUGAAGAGGGGUUUGCGUCUGAUUAGCUGGUUGGAGGGGUAACGGCCCACCAAGGCGACGAUCAGUAGCCGGUCUGAGAGGAUGAACGGCCACACUGGAACUGAGACACGGUCCAGACUCCUACGGGAGGCAGCAGUGGGGAAUCUUCCGCAAGGGGCGAAAGCCUGACGGAGCAACGCCGCGUGAGUGAUGACGGCCUUCGGGUUGUAAAACUCUGUGAUCCGGGACGAAAAGGCAGAGUGCGAAGAACAAACUGCAUUGACGGUACCGGAAAAGCAAGCCACGGCUAACUACGUG